GAUGAACGCUGGCGGCGUGCCUAAUACAUGCAAGUCGAGCGAACGGACGAGAAGCUUGCUUUUCUGAUGUUAGCGGCGGACGGGUGAGUAACACGUGGAUAACCUACCUAUAAGACUGGGAUAACUUCGGGAAACCGGAGCUAAUACCGGAUAAUAUUUUGAACCGCAUGGUUCAAAAGUGAAAGACGGUCUUGCUGUCACUUAUAGAUGGAUCCGCGCUGCAUUAGCUAGUUGGUAAGGUAACGGCUUACCAAGGCAACGAUGCAUAGCCGACCUGAGAGGGUGAUCGGCCACACUGGAACUGAGACACGGUCCAGACUCCUACGGGAGGCAGCAGUAGGGAAUCUUCCGCAAUGGGCGAAAGCCUGACGGAGCAACACCGCGUGAGUGAUGAAGGUCUUCGGAUCGUAAAACUCUGCUAUUAGGGAAGAACAUAUGUGUAAGUAACUGUGCACAUCUUGACGGUACCUAAUCAGAAAGCCACGGCUAACUACGUG
rnacentral:rRNA from 1 species